ACGGGUGCGGAAUGCGUAGGAAUCUGCCCUAAAGUGGGGGAUAACUCGGGGAAACUCGAGCUAAUACCGCAUAUGCUCUACGGAGUAAAGGGGGCGCAAGCUCUCGCUAUAGGAUGAGCCUACGUCGGAUUAGCUAGUUGGUGGGGUAAAAGCUCACCAAGGCGAUGAUCCGUAGCUGGUCUGAGAGGAUGACCAGCCACACUGGGACUGAGAUACGGCCCAGACUCCUACGGGAGGCAGCAGUGGGGAAUAUUGGACAAUGGGGGAAACCCUGAUCCAGCAAUGCCGCGUGUGUGAAGAAGGCCUUCGGGUUGUAAAGCACUUUCAGUGGGGAGGAAAAGCGCAGGGUUAAUACCUCUGUGUGUUGACGCUACCCACAGAAGAAGCACCGGCUAACUCUGUGCCAGCAGCCGCGGUAAUACAGAGGGUGCAAGCGUUAAUCGGAAUUACUGGGCGUAAAGCGUGCGUAGGCGGAUAUUUAAGUCGAAUGUGAAAUCCCCGGGCUUAACCUGGGAACUGCAUCCGAUACUGGAUAUCUGGAGUAUGGUAGAGGAAAGUGGAAUUCCCGGU
rnacentral:rRNA from 1 species